rnacentral:rRNA from 1 species
AGUGAACGCUGGCGGUAGGCCUAACACAUGCAAGUCGAACGGCAGCACAGUAAGAGCUUGCUCUUACGGGAGGCGAGUGGCGGACGGGUGAGGAAUACAUCGGAAUCUACUUUUUCGUGGGGGAUAACGUAGGGAAACUUACGCUAAUACCGCAUACGACCUACGGGUGAAAGCAGGGGAUCUUCGGGCCUUGCGCGAUUGAAUGAGCCGAUGUCGGAUUAGCUAGUUGGCGGGGUAAAGGCGCACCACGGCGACGAUCCGUAGCUGGUCUGAGAGGAAGAUCAGCCACCCUGGUACUGAGACACGGUCCAGACUCCUGCGGGGGGCAGCAGUGGGGAAUAUUGGACGAUGGGGGCAAGCCUGAUCCAGCCAUACCGCGUGAGUGAAGAAGGCCUUCGGGUUGUAAAGCCCUUUUGUUGGGAAAGAAGAGCAGCAGGUUAAUACCCCGCUGUUCUGACGGUACCAAAAGAAUAAGCACCGGCUAACUUCGUG